rnacentral:rRNA from 1 species
UACGGGGGGAGCAAGCGUUGUUCGGAUUUACUGGGCGUAAAGGGCGCGUAGGCGGUCGUGACAAGUCAGUUGUGAAAUCUCCGAGCUUAACUCGGAACGGUCAACUGAUACUGUGCGGCUAGAGUGCGGAAGGGGCAACUGGAAUUCUUGGUGUAGCGGUGAAAUGCGUAGAUAUCAAGAGGAACACCUGCGGCGAAGGCGGGUUGCUGGGCCGACACUGACGCUGAGGCGCGAAAGCCAGGGGAGCGAACGGG